rnacentral:rRNA from 1 species
GACGAACGCUGGCGGCGUGCCUAAUACAUGCAAGUUGAGCGCUGAAGGUUGGUACUUGUACCGACUGGAUGAGCAGCGAACGGGUGAGUAACGCGUGGGGAAUCUGCCUUUGAGCGGGGGACAACAUUUGGAAACGAAUGCUAAUACCGCAUAAAAACUUUAAACACAAGUUUUAAGUUUGAAAGAUGCAAUUGCAUCACUCAAAGAUGAUCCCGCGUUGUAUUAGCUAGUUGGUGAGGUAAAGGCUCACCAAGGCGAUGAUACAUAGCCGACCUGAGAGGGUGAUCGGCCACAUUGGGACUGAGACACGGCCCAAACUCCUACGGGAGGCAGCAGUAGGGAAUCUUCGGCAAUGGACGAAAGUCUGACCGAGCAACGCCGCGUGAGUGAAGAAGGUUUUCGGAUCGUAAAACUCGGUUGGUAGAGGAGAACGUUGGUGAGAGUGGAAAGCUCAUCAAGUGACGGUAACUACCCAGAAAGGGACGGCUAACUACGUG